rnacentral:sRNA from 1 species
UACCCUGGCACCCCAAAUUUCGAUGUGUCGCCUGCCGGGCGCUAAGCGCCGGUGUUGAGAGGCAGCGGCCGCCGCGCCCGGGAAAAUGCUGGGCAUGUACGUGCCGGACAGGUUCUCCCUGAAGUCCUCCCGGGUUCAGGACGGGAUGGGGCUCUACACGGCCCGCAGAGUGCGAAAGGGUGAAAAGUUCGGACCCUUUGCUGGAGAGAAGAGAAUGCCUGAAGACUUGGAUGAAAAUAUGGAUUACAGGUUGAUGUGGGAGGUUCGUGGGAGUAAGGGAGAAGUUUUGUACAUUUUGGAUGCUACCAACCCACGGCACUCCAACUGGCUUCGCUUCGUUCAUGAGGCACCAUCUCAGGAGCAGAAGAACUUGGCUGCCAUUCAAGAAGGAGAAAACAUUUUCUAUUUGGCAGUUGAAGAUAUAGAAACAGACACGGAGCUUCUGAUCGGCUACCUGGAUAGUGACAUGGAGGCUGAGGAGGAAGAACAGCAAAUUAUGACAGUCAUCAAAGAAGGGGAAAUUGAAAAUUCUAGAAGACAAUCAACAGCGGGCAGAAAAGAUCACCUUGGCUGUAAAGAGGACUAUGCUUGUCCUCAAUGUGAAUCGAGUUUUACCAGUGAGGAUAUUCUUGCUGAGCAUCUUCAGACAUUGCACCAGAAACCCACAGAGGAGAAAGAAUUUAAGUGCAAGAACUGUGGGAAGAAAUUCCCAGUUAAGCAGGCUUUGCAAAGACAUUUUGAGCAGCACCAGGAGACUUGCCGGGGGGAUGCCAGGUUUGUGUGCAAGGCUGACAGCUGUGGAAAGAGGCUGAAGAGCAAGGACGCCCUGAAAAGACACCAGGAAAAUGUCCACACUGGUGAGGAGUCAUUGGAGGGUCGUUUCCGAAGGGGCUUCUUUUCCCCAGGCCGCAGCGGUCUGUUUUUAAUUCGCACUCUUGAGGAGAGAGCUGGCUUUUCCAUUGUGUUUCACACAGAUGUGGAGCGCUGGCAGUGGAUUUUUUUCUUUCACUGAACACUAUUUCUUUCUCAGGUUGAAUUUAGCAGCAUUUGUUCUUUUUCCCAUUUCUGAAUUAAUUAUAACUGUAAGCCUUAGUUAAAGUCUAGUUAUGUUUGGGUGGGCAGAUGCGUUAAGAAUUAAUAUUUUUAAGUAACAAUUUUAAAUGUUUUGGCAUAUGACAUUUCUUUUAUAAAUUGUUAAAAUUUAUGGUUAUUAAGUGAUGUCCUUCUGCCUUAUUAUUUUUACAGUA